rnacentral:lncRNA from 1 species
CUUUGAGCUCUCUCCUUCCUAUGUCCAUGCGCCUUACACAGUCAUCACCAUUCACCCACAAUUCGGUGCUCAGCUUAUCAUGCACAAGCUAUAAUCCUACAACCCCUUGUUGUUGUUGUCUAAUAAAUAAACUUGUUAUACAAAAAUCCAAAAAUCCAAUCUUUUUAUAUAUGUUCCAAGUCAGAACUAGUGUCUCACAGAUUAUAACCCUUGGAGCAGUGAUUCUCAAGUAACAAAUUUCAGCUGUGAAACUAAAGCCCAAGAUUAAAGGACUGAAUUUAAAACUCGCGCAGUAUUUGUUCUUCAUCAACGACUCCUUCUAUAUACCGAAAACAUGCAAUACCAAUCAGACAAGUCGAUUACCUCUUGAUUUUCGCCUCAACAAUGCUCAACUAAAAUCUUAGAAUCUCUUGAAAUUUUGAAACAGAGGAGCACCAAUAGACAAAUCGACAACGGCGUCUGAGAUUCUCCAAAAUCAUCGCUUCAGAACCCCCUAUCCUCCGAAACCCUAAUUUCAGAAAACAAAUCGAGAGAUCAACGGCGAGAUUCGACAAGGUUCUGUUGGCGUUUAAGUUCCGACUGAACGACAACGCUGGUAAGUGUGGACUCCGGUAAGUGUUGGUUUCUUCUUUUUACUCUUUCCGUUUCUCAAAACGCCGUCGUUGAUUAUGGGCUUGAGUUGAAACUCAUUUAUGGGCUUGACACAUCUUUUAGACGUGAGUAGCCAGCCUACCAAGUCCAACCGUGUCUUAACUCUUAAACGAAUACGGGAAACGGAACGCGAUGCAAUCUAAAAUGGGAAAAAUGUCGUUAAAA